GCGAGCGGCUGCACGGCCGGGUCAGGGUGGGGACCGCGCCGUCCCCCGCCCCGUGACCCGCAGCCCCCGCUGGGCCCGGGGUUGGUCUCCCCCGCCGGUUUAACGAGCACUUGGAGGCUGCAGAUUUGUGACAGGGGCAGAGGCGAGGUUUCCACUCCUGUGGUAACGUCAGGGUUAACUUGAGAGGGCUGGAUUCCCCCAGCCACCCUUACGCUUGUCUGUUCUCUGCGAUCGCACGUUCCGGGAGGUCUGGGAGAAGUCAGCAAACUCAACCCAGCCCCAGGGACCCACCUGUGACCAGCUCGCCCAGGAAUGACUGCGCCCCUUAAACACCAAGAAGGAAAUGAACUCCAUUCUAAUUAGACCUUCGGAAAAUGGCAGGAAGGAGCCAGAAGCCGGGUUCCAGGGGACUUGAAGGGGAAGCUGGCACAUGGAGGAGUUGGGCACUCUGCUGCGAUGCCCAGCAGCCCUGCAGUGUCCUGACCCCAGCUGCCCUUGUCAUCCUGUCUUCUCCAGCUUAGAGACUGCCCUAUUGUCCUAAGCAGCUCUGCCCUCCCCUCAGGUGGCAGGGACCGCAGCGGCCUCCAUUAAACUUGUGAGCAUUUACUGA